rnacentral:rRNA from 1 species
AGUGAACGCUGGCGGUAGGCCUAACACAUGCAAGUCGAACGGCAGCACAGUAAUAGCUUGCUCUUACGGGUGGCGAGUGGCGGACGGGUGAGGAAUAACUCGGAAUCUACUUUUUCGUGGGGGAUAACGUAGGUAAACAUACGCUAAUACCGCAUACGCCCUACGGGUGAAAGCAGGGGAUCUUCUGACCUUGCGGGAUUGAAUUAGCCGAUGUCGGAGUAGUUGGUUGGCUGGGGAAAGGCCCACCAAGGCGACGAUACGUAGCUCGUGUGAGAGGAUGGUAAGCCGCACUGGAAGGGAGACAGGCUACAGGGUCCUACGGGAGGGACCAGUGGGGAAUAUUGGGCAAAGGGCGGGAGCUUGAUCCAACCAUACCAAGUGUGUGAAGAAGGCCUUCUGUGUGUAAAGCCCUUUUGUUGGGAAAGAAAAGCAGCAGCUUAAUACCACGCUGUUCUGACGGUACCAAAAGAAUAAGCACCGGCUAACUACGUG